AUUGAACGCUGGCGGCAUGCCUAACACAUGCAAGUCGAGCGGAUGAAUGUUGCUUUCUCCUGGAUUCAGCUUCGGACGGUUGUGUAAUGCCUAUGAAUCUGCCUGUUAUUUUGUUAUAACGUCCUGUAACGGGCGCUAAUACCGCAUACUUCCUUAGGUAGACAGUUUUUGUUCUUCGGUCCUCACGCUUUCUUAUUAUCCUAGGUCGGAUUAGAUAGUUGGUUGGGUAAAGGCCUACCAAGGCUACGAUCCGUAACUGGUCUGAGAGGAUGAUCAGUAAAACUGGAAGUGAGACACGGAACAGAGUACUACGGGAGGAAGCAGAGGGGAAUAUUGGACAAUGGGCGAAAGCAUGAUAGAGCAAUGGCGAGGGUGUGAAGAAGGUCUUCGGAUGGUAAAGAAAUUUAAGUUGGGAGGAAGGGAAGUAAGAUAAUACGUAGCUGUAUUGACGUGAACAACAGAAUAAGCAACGGCUAACUACGUG
rnacentral:rRNA from 1 species